CGAUAUGGGACUAAACAUGCCUGUAUAGGUCCUCACAUACUCUUCCGUUUAAGCCCUGACAUUCUCGUUAGGUUAAGGAUUCAAACUCUUUCAAAUUUAAUCAUAACUACCACGAUCGGCCCGUAGUCGACCCCAAAGGAUCCGUACUGCAGUGUCCUCUAGUCCAUAUAGAUUAUGGGUCGGGUUUGCUAUGAUACUAUUUGUAACAACUCAGGAUCUCACUCAAAAUGGCUAGCUAUUAUUUAGGUUUCUUGAUUCUGUAUAAUUAUCCAAGAUCUACGAAAUGAAUAACCGAUGUGGGGCUAAACACCCGUCCGCACGGGUCGUCACUAACACCUAAUGGGAUCUAUGGCAUUAAAAGCAUCUCCUACAAUUCCACUAAUGGAAUUACUUCAACAAAUUCUCAGCAGCGUCCGCGAGUUGGGUUAAGCCUCGACUUCAUGUACAAUUAUUGUUAAUUACUGCGAGUUGC
rnacentral:lncRNA from 1 species